UUUUCAGUUCAGUAUUUGAUGAAUCCUUUGUUCUAUAUUGUUUAGUUUGUUCUGCUCUUUUCUGUGUUGUUCAGUUUUGCUUUUACCUGCCAGCUUUGUCUUUUGCCUGCACAAGCCUUAAAAUCAAGAAGUUAUUCUUCAGUUCAUACUGCCUGCGUCCUGUAUUUGGGUCCAACUCCUGCUACUCUUCCUGUCACUGGCUUGCCUUUCCCCGAGAGUGAGAGACUACUCUACCAGCCAGAAAACCUUUGCAAAAUUAUAAGGAUGUGCACAAUCUGGCGGUGAGGUAUGCAGUCCCCUUCCCAUCUGAAUGCGUCAGACCUGACCUAACCCACUCCCACCCACCCCUCUGACCCUGUUGAACCCGAUGCUGAACACCAACCAGCUGCAGCAGCAGUCCAACUGUGUCUUUACGUGAUGCAGAAACUGUAAGCAUGGACACAGUCAGAGGACACGUGCCUGUGUCAGGGCAGGUGAUGGCGGUGGCGCACUCGCACCGGAUUCUGUCCCCCAAACCUCAACCUGUUCGCUGGAGGCACCAGGGUCUUCAUCUGCAUCUGAGAAUAACAUUCUUCUUUGUAACAAAGGACAUACUAGUCUUUUUUUUAUUGCAAGUUUGAUUACAAUAAUAUUCAAACUGGGCGACUUACCAAGUUCCAUCUGGGCACAAAGCCACUGAUGGCAGUUUGGCUCAGGAUAGAAGCCAUGCGCUCAUCAAGCGGAGAGGGUGCUGGGGUUACUCUCCUCCUCCAGUAGCUCACACACUAACGCUGUGCGCAGUAAUGCGCUUGUCGGCCUCACGCUUGAAACCGGACUAUGUUUUUAAAAAUCUCCUCCAAUGUCUAUGGCUCAGAACUAACAGUGUUCACUGCUUCGGUUACUUUCUACCAUUCAACUUGAUUCAUUUUGUUGGUGACGCCAGAGCUUAGGCCUCCAAAUAAUACCUGUUUUCUUCUGUCAGUUUGAUCAACCAUUAUUUCAAGUUCAGUUGGUAAAGUUGCACUUCUUCAAUUGCUUCUUACAAGCCUCCGCCAUUUCUCCUUUAAACUAAACUAAAUGCUGGCCCUUUAUAUGCCACCCAGGCAAUUGGAGGUUUGUUGGAAGCCAUUUAUAGAAAAUUGUGCACAUGGUCAGAAGGCUAAUGCAUGUGCACACAAUUUCAGGAUGAUUGUGAUGUAUGAGGAAAAAAUACGUGGAAACAGACAUACAUAGAGUUUUAUAAAUCUGACAAAAAGACUA